rfam:Mycobacterium kumamotonense strain Roo Mkuma_contig000002, whole genome shotgun sequence.
AACGCACCUCGCUAGGCGAGGCGUCUGUGCGGAUACAGGCCACUGACCUCCAACGUCGAGAGACGCCAACGGUCAGGACAGCUCUUCCCGGCUUAAGGGUUGAGCCCAAGUGGCUUCCGGCUGCUGGCCGGAUACGCCGUGCAGUGCCGAAGCUCUGACGAGAGGGGUGCCGG